CCAUACCGGUCGGGGAAUUAGCGGUGCCCUGUACCUGCAAUCCGCUACAGCAGGGAUGGUUUCCGAUUAUGAGGGGUGGAUUUGUGUGGUCUGCACCGCAUAAUCUCCGCGAUGACGGGUGGGUCCCGCGCAAUCGGUAGCUGUGAACCAUGUCAGGUGAGGAAUCAAGCAGCAUUAAGCAGUGCCACCGGUGUGCCGCGGGGUUGCCUGCUCCGAGCGGAGACUGCGGAAAGCGCAUGGAAGUUCAUUUCGAGUUUUCGGUGUAUGG
rfam:Ruminococcus sp. CAG:724 genomic scaffold, scf316